UACGUAGGGUGCAAGCGUUGUCCGGAAUUAUUGGGCGUAAAGAGCUCGUAGGCGGUUUGUCGCGUCGGCCGUGAAAACUUGGGGCUUAAACCCGAGCCUGCGGUCGAUACGGGCAGACUUGAGUUCGGCAGGGGAGACUGGAAUUCCUGGUGUAGCGGUGAAAUGCGCAGAUAUCAGGAGGAACACCGGUGGCGAAGGCGGGUCUCUGGGCCGAUACUGACGCUGAGGAGCGAAAGCGUGGGGAGCGAACAGG
rnacentral:rRNA from 1 species